CGACCGGCGCACGGGUGGGUAACACGUAUCCAACCUGCCCUUUACUCGGGGAUAGGCUUUCGAAAGAAAGAUUAAUACCCGAUGGUAUAUGUUUUCCGCAUGGGAUUCAUAUUAAAGAUUUAUCGGUAUGGGAUGGGGAUGCGUUCCAUUAGUUUGUUGGCGGGGUAACGGCCCACCAAGACUUCGAUGGAUAGGGGUUCUGAGAGGAAGGUCCCCCACAUUGGAACUGAGACACGGUCCAAACUCCUACGGGAGGCAGCAGUGAGGAAUAUUGGUCAAUGGACGUGAGUCUGAACCAGCCAAGUAGCGUGAAGGAUGACUGCCCUAUGGGUUGUAAACUUCUUUUAUAUGGGAAUAGAGUGAGGCACGCGUGCCUUUUUGUAUGUACCAUUAUGAAUAAGCAUCGGCUAACUCCGUGCCAGCAGCCGCGGUAAUACGGAGGAUGCGAGCGUUAUCCGGAUUUAUUGGGUUUAAAGGGAGCGUAGGUGGACGAUUAAGUCAGUUGUGAAAGUUUGGGGCUCAACCUUAAAAUUGCAGUUGAUACUGAUUGUCUUGAGUGCGUUAAAGGUGGGCGGAAUUCGUGGUGUAGCGGUGAAAUGCUUAGAUAUCACGAAGAACUCCGAUUGCGAAGGCAGCUCACCGGGCCGUAACUGACACUGAUGCUCGAAAGUGUGGGUAUCAAACAGGAUUAGAUACCCUGGUAGUCCACACAGUAAACGAUGAAUACUCGCUGUUUGCGAUACACAGUAAGCGGCCAAGCGAAAGCGUUAAGUAUUCCACCUGGGGAGUAC
rnacentral:rRNA from 1 species